CCACCAUGGCGCUCCGGCUGAGCCAGCAGGGCGGCUCCGCUCAGCCCGCCCCGUCCCCGCCUCCUCAGCCGCGCCGUUUUGGACAGCGCACGGCCACCACUAUCACACUCCUGCUCUCUGGGAAACACUACUGGUGCAUCGCCGUCCGCUUCAGAGAAAGGCUUCUGAACCAUGGACUUUUUUUCUUAAAAUUUCAAUAUAAUGCUUCUGUACAAAUGUAUCAUUCUUUCUAGUAAGACGCAUUGGUGAUUGGUUGCUGACCACUAUGUUUUUACUCACGAUUCCUAAAUUAUCCUUCCCAAACCAUUACAUUAUGUGUGACCAUGAUUCACUGCUGGUUAAAUCCCUUGUUUGGAGUGGAGAAGCAAAACAGACAUAUAAAUGUCAGCCCUGUGGUUUGCAUAUUAUGAGAUGUUCUUCUUUUCAAUACGCCCACAAAGUAGAGGGAGAUCUUUCUAUUUUAGAUGGUUUUGUAUAAUGCUUUGGUCUGGUGUGAUGGUGAGGGGUGAUGUAGUGGAUUGGUUGUUGGGGCUCCCAUUCGUUGCCACAAAGUGGCCGUGAGUCUCCUGGGUUCCGCUCAAAAGCAACAACAAUCAAUUAAACGAUACAAAAAUGAUACAGUAUCAGAAUCAACAAAAACAAAGAGACAAAACGAGCUGAAGUUCAAAUAAAUAAGUUAAAUUUCUCUGCAUAUGAAACACUAAACAAUAAUAAUCUGCAUUGAAAGCCACAACGAAAAUUUGUCGCAAAAUAUACAACAAAACGAAAUGAAACAAUCUAAGGUUCGGAAACCGCGACAACCACAAUAACAUCAUAACAGUACAUAUAAUUUAACACAUAUAAUUUAAGAUGGAUCAGAUUUUGUUUCAGCCACUCAUUGAAUAAAAGUCCGUUUUU